rnacentral:rRNA from 1 species
UGGUGAUCAUAGCGCGAGUGAAACACCCAGCCCCAUCCCGAACCUGGCCGUUAAGCACCGUAGCGCCGAUGGUACUGCAUCUUAAGGUGUGGGAGAGUAGGUCAUCGCC